GGUCUUGUCUAGCUCGAGUAGAGCACGGCAUUAACACUGCCAGGGUUGGGGGUUCGAUUCCCACUGGGGCCA